GGUCCACAGAUGGUUUAUUUGUAACAGCACAGGAUGGUCAGCAGACUUCUUCGUAGAGGCAAUGUGAUUGACCGAUUUGGAAUCCACAUCAUAAAGGUUUAUGUGCCUUUAUUGUUUACUAUUUUCAAGAAUGCUGACCUUAGAAAUUUAUUCAAUCUAUUUCGGUAGAGCAGAUCUUCCUAAAAUUGGCUUUAACACUUCCAUGAGAGUUUGGAAGGGAUCUUUAAUGAUGAACCAUCCACUGUAUGUAAUUUGAUUCACAGAGGAAUUGCAGACAGUACGAAGAAAAAAAUUAAUAUUUAAGUUCACUUGGCUAACUAUGUGGUUGCAACAUAAGUUCUCCUAUGGAGAACAAAAAAGGUUGGGGAAAUCUCUGUCUCUUCCUGAAAUUUUCUCUUCAAUCACAGGACUCUCCAGCUUUUUCCUAGUUCAAAAAUACAAGACUAGAAGCCGAUAGCUACACAUCCUAGGAAGAUACAAUUGCAUAUAUUUAAAGGGCAUUUUCAUCUUGAGUAUUGAAAAUUGAGACUGUUAUUCUUUGGCUAGUUGUCAUUGAAAACUAAGCUUACCAUAUUUAACUUAGUAAUCUUAAAAUAGGUAAGAAAAAAAAAACAAGGGGAGAAAACUUCAUUUCUCUGAAUGUUAAAGAAUGAAGGAAAUUGCAGUUGUUUUUCCGUCAGAAAGAAGCCUGGGCACAGCAGAGGCUGAAAUAGGAUGUGCAAAACAGACAUCUUUGCUCAGGUAGGAAAGUCCCUUAGUCUCUUCCACCAUCCCCCAAACAUUGCUUCCACAAUUAUCUUUGCCAUCAGAUUUUUCUGCUGCACGAUUUCCCUCUUCUCAUAACAAAAAGUGGGAAAAGCCUGUCCAUACUACUUGUUAGAAAGAUAGAAAAUUUAGCUUAACGUGGGGGUCCUUGGUUGGCUCAGUUGGUAGAGCGUAUGGCUCUUGAUCUUGAGGUUGUGAGCUUGAGCCUCAUGUUGGGUGUAGAGAUUACUUAAAAAAAAUAAUCACUCAAAAAAAUAAUAAACUUAAUCUACUGUGUUCACCUGGUAGUGUUGAGUGGCAUGGACACUGACAAAAUAAUUAUAAAGGGUUUGAGGCAGUUUGGAAAACCACAUGGGGCUAGCCAUCCAUGCGACAAUUAUAUUUCAUGGGGACUGUCUAAAUAGAUCUCAUUAAACUUUGCUUUUCAACUAAUAAUUUAGGAAACUUUUGCCUUUUGUGAAACAGCAGAGAAAGUGUUUUCCCCAAACACAGAGAGAAUUAAGAUGGAAAUAAAUGUUCUGAAGAAGUCAAUAUAGGGUUAUGACUGGAAAUAUGACCCCGCUUCCAUCUUAGACAAAGAAGCAACACAACAUCCUCACAGCUUACUCUCGGGUGUUGUCCUCAAGCUCGCACUUGGGGCCAGGAUGGUCCCAAAGCACACGCUGGUGCCAUCAUAGAGAAAGGUGAGGUUUAUUGGACAGGCUUCUUCUCCCAGAGAAUAGAAUCUGAUUAUACAAAAAUUUGGAGUUGAUCCUAAAUAUGAGGCUCUUGUCUAUCAACCCGUCUGCUUUCGUUUUACUUCCCUGGAAAAGAUGCUUUAAUAUGGCUGUGGCUGGAACACAGUGGCUAUAAUACUUGUGUUUUCUAGGAAAGAAAAAAAAAAAACAUCGAAUGUGGUUGUGAGUGUGGUUUUUCAGAUGAACCCAGAGGGCAUGUUCAAUGGAAGGUAACUUAUCACCAUUACAAAUGCAUAAAUCCUGUGCAGCAGGAACCUCGUCUGAUCGAUGAUUCCAGCUGAAGCCAAAUCAAUCUUCCAGCUGGACUGCGUACUGUUGGCACAUUUCAAUUUGAAUAGAAACUCCUGGAGGAAAACUCACUGCUUUCUAUCAGAAGCUUGGUUUUUCAGGCCAUUUCUAUAAGGUUCUUGCUUCUAAGUUACUGAGAAUACCAGAAAGAUUAAGAUGCUAACCUGCCCCCUGGAUGGAACCUACAACUAUUCCUAGAGCCUGUUAUAAUAUUUUGAUUUGGGGGAAAAUGGAGUGGAAACACUUUAUGACCAUGGUAGGCCUGCACUGGGGGGUAUCGCACAGUGUAGACACACACGCACAUGCACACGCACACCACCCCUGGGCCUCCAUCUACCUGCCUCCAAUUGACAGACUAAUCAAUUUGGCCACAUCAGUUAAGCAACCUGGAUCUUCGGAUUUUCAAUUUUGACCAAAUUGAGAAAAGAAAAUGGGCAAUUUGGUAGCCUUUUGUUGGCAGUUGGCUAGAGUGCUCCUACCCAUCCCCCUUCCUUGGCCUGAACUUUAUCGUUGCUAAAAUUUUUAUCCUCAGACCAUGUUGAUGGUGCUUGGUGGAGCCAGCCCAAGUGUGAGAAAGAAAAUGCUUCUGUAGGAUCGAAGCCUUACUGCCUUCUAAAGAGCUCAUCAAGCUCCCUCCCCCAUCUGUUUCUAGAACAAAGCAUUGUUAGAAUCAGUAGGAGUCUCC
rnacentral:lncRNA from 1 species